rnacentral:rRNA from 1 species
UACGAAGGGGGCUAGCGUUGCUCGGAAUCACUGGGCGUAAAGGGUGCGUAGGCGGGUCUUUAAGUCAGGGGUGAAAUCCUGGAGCUCAACUCCAGAACUGCCUUUGAUACUGAAGAUCUUGAGUUCGGGGGAGGUGAGUGGAACUGCGAGUGUAGAGGUAAAAUUCGUAGAUAUUCGCAAGAACACCAGUGGCGAAGGCGGCUCACUGGCCCGAUACUGACGCUGAGGCACGAAAGCGUGGGGAGCAAACAGG